rnacentral:rRNA from 1 species
CAAAGGAAUUGACGGGGCCCGCACAAGCGGUGGAGCAUGUGGUUUAAUUCGACGCAACGCGAAGAACCUUACCAGGGCUUGACAUCCCCUGACCGCGUAUGAAAGUACGUUUUCACCUUCGGGUGACAGGGAGACAGGUGGUGCAUGGUUGUCGUCAGCUCGUGUCGUGAGAUGUUGGGUUAAGUCCCGCAACGGGCGCAACCCCUACGUUUAGUUGCUAACGCGUGAAGGCGAGCACUCUAGACGAACUGCCGUUGACAAAACGGAGGAAGGUGGGGAUGACGUCAAAUCAUCAUGCCCCUUAUGUUCUGGGCUACACACGUGCUACAAUGGCCGGUACAGACGGACGCAAAGCCGCGAGGUGGAGCAAAUCCUAAAAAGCCGGUCUCAGUUCGGAUUGCAGGCUGCAAUUCGCCUGCAUGAAGUCGGAAUCGCUAGUAAUCGCAGGUCAGCAUACUGCGGUGAAUACGUUCCCGGGCCUU